UCCUUGGUGGCCUAGUGGCUAAGGACCCAGCAUUGUUACUGCUGUGGCUCGGAUUCAAUUCCUGGCCCGGGAA
rnacentral:tRNA from 1 species